UGGGGAAUAUUGGACAAUGGGGGGAACCCUGAUCCAGCCAUGCCGCGUGUGUGAAGAAGGCCUUAUGGUUGUAAAGCACUUUAAGCGAGGAGGAGGGUACUGGUAUUAAUACUACCAGCUACUGGACGUUACUCGCAGAAUAAGCACCGGCUAACUCUGUGCCAGCAGCCGCGGUAAUACAGAGGGUGCGAGCGUUAAUCGGAUUUACUGGGCGUAAAGCGUGCGUAGGCGGCUAAUUGAGUCGGAUGUGAAAUCCCCGAGCUUACCUUGGGAAUUGCAUUCGAUACUGGUUAGCUAGAGUGUGGGAGAGGGUGGUAGAAUUCCAGGUGUAGCGGUGAAAUGCGUGGAGAUCUGGAGGAAUACCGAUGGCGAAGGCAGCCAUCUGGCCUAACACUGACGCUGAGGUACGAAAGCAUGGGGAGCAAACAGG
rnacentral:rRNA from 1 species